ensembl:lncRNA
GCGGCAUGGUUGGGGCGCAUCACCGUGAGGCGUGUUUUAUGGCAAUCCAUCCAAGUGGUUAAAUACAGCUUCACCCUCGUUGGAUCUUUAAGCGCGGAUUUCAAACAGUCUUAAAACACCACGACAGGACACCCAGACGAACGAUGGACGGUAUUAAUUUAGGUUUAUUUCUUUAUUUUUAGAAGACGCCGAGGAGUUUGGACUAGCAGUGCGUAAUUAUGAGAAGAGACACGAGGCAUUGUUGACCGAGCCGAUAAUCAACAAUCAAAACAGCGAUGAUGUAACCCAUAAUGUGUAUUUCCCACCAGAGCUAGUCACCCCGUCAAUUAGAGCAUACAGCCAUAACGGAGACCCCGGACAAUCUGCAGAAUUAUCCGGUCUUACGGAGCUUACACAACGAGUGGGCCGGGGACCAUAUCUACAGGAUCUACUAUCGCGAGACACCCCGUGGGCUGACUUAUUGAAACGGACGAGUGUGGAUGCCGUGGAGGGACAACCGGCUGGCGGCAAUAAACGUUUUAAACCAGCGAACGAGGGGGGCGUAGUGGUGACUGAAGCCCAAAUACAUGAACAAGUCUUCAACGCAGACGAUGGAGGAUUGGCGCCGGUGUUUGAUGACAACUACCGCUGGACCGAUGCAGAUGUCACAUUAUGGGACCAAGUAGUGUUUGGCGGUGAAUCGGGGUA